ACAAAACGGAGAAAUACAAUGCUGAAGAUGGGGUGAGUAAUCACAUCCCUAUUCAGAUGAGGCUGCAGCAAAGUGGAAGACAAACAAUCGCAAGAUGGGUCAAGGCUACUUUCUGCAGAGAAGGGCAUGUGAUAUUAUCUGAUGAGAGACAUGUGAUUGUUCCUUCUUUCCAGCAGCAAGUAAGCCAGAUGGGUUUGAUGAACUUGGAAAAAUGGAAACGUUACCAAGGAAGUCAGUUGCUGAUGGUGUACAUCUCCAGAAGACAGCAUCGCCAGCAAAAAAAAAAAAACAAAAACAAAGUAUUACACCAACGUAGAAAAGUGCUGAGCUGGCAGUUAAAUGGAACCUUUUCUCAGACAAUGCCACGCAAUUGCUUUCCACCAGAUCCUGACUACUUUCUGGGACUCAUCAGGAUGAUGCUGAACAUAUUUAAAUCUUCCCAUAAAAGGUUUAGUCUAAGUUGCUUCUCCAGUACUGUUUGAACAUUAAAUAUGCAAAUAAUCAUCAUUACACUUCCAACAAUUACACAUGUUUGCGAGCACCAUGUCAAGUGCUGGCAGCAGUGCAAUCAUUUGUAAAGACAAAUAUUCCAUUCCAAGAGAUGUCAUGCGGCUUCGAAGAUUCUUUUUUGUAUUAGUAGCCACACUGCUGCCUCAUAAAGUGUGCAAAUGAACGUGACAGUGCUGCCAAUAGCUGCCAGCUCCUUCCUCUCAGCAGAGCAGAUGUCAAUCAACCAUCCCAAACAGACAAGGCCUCAGUACUGCCGCAGACGUUAAACAUGUAGAUAGAGAGGGAAGCUACAAGCAAGGCAGGCAGCUCACAGACUCAGCUUCUCCCCUCUCCCUUCCCUCUCCCUUACUCUUUUCUUACUAUCCUCCUCUGCCUACUCCUUUUCCUUCUCUCUCCCUCCCUCUUCUCCCUUUCUCUUUCCUACACUCUCCCUUUUCUCUCUUUCUUCGUCUCUCCUACCAGCCCCCUUGCUCCUCUGCUCUCUUCCUCUCUCGGCCUCAGGCCUUUCGAAUAUUUUAAUUCCUGAUUUCUGACUAUAUUAUCAUGUGUUUGUAACAGGCGAAUUGUAAUUUGUAGCUCUGAGGUGAUAUGAAAAGCUGUCUGGAACCAUAGGACAGCUGUAAGCAUGUGGCAGGUUUUCUUUUUUAACCUCUUUCUUUUUCUCUCAUAUGAUUUUUUUCUCCUUUCUUUUGCCUUCUUUUCCUUUCCUUUCCCUUCCCCUUUCUUCCUUUCCCUUCCUUUUUCUUCCUUUCCCUUCCCUUCCCUUCUCUCCUUUUCCAUUCCCCUCUCUGCUCUCUAUGUAGUUAUGGAUAAUUGUCACCAUUUACUUUUAUCAUAACCAAAGUAGCAGCUUAGGAAAGCUGUGACUUUAGUCAAGACUAAUCUUCCUUUCUCCUGAAGUGGGAAAAUCCCAAGUAUUUCAGGGUCCUAUUGAUAACCCUUGUGCUUCUUUUCCAUAAAAGACGGAUGACU
rnacentral:lncRNA from 1 species